rnacentral:tRNA from 1 species
GGCUCGGUAGGCAACUGGCAGACCAAGCUGACUUAGAAUCAGCUAUGCUGUGGGUUCGAAUCCCACCCGGGCUA